UGCCAGCAGCCGCGGUAAUACGGAGGGGGCUAGCGUUGUUCGGAAUUACUGGGCGUAAAGCGCGCGUAGGCGGGCUGGUCAGUUGGGGGUGAAAGUCCACGGCUCAACCGUGGAAGUGCAUUUGAAACUGUAUAACUUGAGUACUGGAGGGGGUAGUGGAAUUCCCGGUGUAGAGGUGAAAUUCGUAGAUAUCGGGAGGAAUACCGGUGGCGAAGGCGACUACCUGGCCAGAUACUGACACUGAGGUGCGAAAGCGCGGGGAGCAAACAGGAUUAGAUA
rnacentral:rRNA from 1 species